ensembl:snRNA U6 U6 spliceosomal RNA
GUGCUCGCUUCGGCAGCACGUAUACUAAAAUUGGAACGAUACAGAGAAGAUUAGCAUGGCCUCUGCGCAAGGAUGACAUGCAAAUUCGUGAAGCGUUCCAUAAAAAA